rnacentral:rRNA from 1 species
GAUGAACGCUGGCGGCGUGCCUAAUACAUGCAAGUCGAGCGAAAGCACAAGGAGCUUGCUCCUUUCACUCUAGCGGCGGACGGGUGAGUAACACGUGGGCAACCUACCCUUUAGACUGGGAUAACUACCGGAAACCGGAGCUAAUACCGGAUAAUAUGUAUAACCCCAUGGAUCUUUAUGGAAAGAUGAUUCCUGCUGUCACUUAUAGAUGGACCUGCGCCGCAUUAGCUAGUUGGUGAGGUAACGGCUCACCAAGGCAACGAUGCAUAGCCGACCUGAGAGGGUGAUCGGCCACACUGGAACUGAGACACGGCCCAGACUCCUACGGGAGGCAGCAGUAGGGAAUCUUCCGCAAUGGACGAAAGUCUGACGGAGCAACGCCGCGUGAGUGAUGAAGGUCUUCGGCAUCGUAAAACUCUGUUGUUAAGGAAGAACACUUCUAGUAGUAACUGGGCUAGACAUGACGGUACCUAAUCAGAAAGCCACGGCUAACUACGUGCCAGCAGCCGCGGUAAUACGUAGGUGGCAAGCGUUAUCCGGAAUUAUUGGGCGUAAAGCGCGCGUAGGCGGUAUAAUUAAGUCUGAUGUGAAAGCCCCCGGCUCAACCGGGGAGGGUCAUUGGAAACUGUUUUACUUGAGUGCAGAAGAGGAGAGUGGAAUUCCAUGUGUAGCGGUGAAAUGCGCAGAGAUAUGGAGGAACACCAGUGGCGAAGGCGACUCUCUGGUCUGUAACUGACGCUGAUGUGCGAAAGCGUGGGGAUCAAACAGGAUUAGAUACCCUGGUAGUCCACGCCGUAAACGAUGAGUGCUAAGUGUUGGGGGGUUUCCGCCCCCUUAGUGCUGCAGCUAACGCAUUAAGCACUCCGCCUGGGGAGUACGACCGCAAGGUUGAAACUCAAAGGAAUUGACGGGGACCCGCACAAGCGGUGGAGCAUGUGGUUUAAUUCGAAGCAACGCGAAGAACCUUACCAAAUCUUGACAUCCUCUGAUCCCCCUAGAGAUAUAGUUUCCCUCUUGGGGAGACAAACUGGCGGGGGGUGCAUGUCUGCCGCCCGCGCCUGGAGAGAGAUGGUGAAUUCACUCCCGCAGCGCGCGCCUCCCUUAUACUUACCUGCCUUCAUUUGGGUGCUCUCUAUAGACUGACUGCGACUAACCGACCGAAGGAGGGGAUGAAUGACAAUCAAUCUGCCUGCUACUAAUGAUGUGAGCUACACGCUAGCUAGGGUGGGUUAUACAGGGGGGCGCAACCCCGCAGGGCAAAGAAACUCCAAAAACUGGUCUCUCUUUCCGAAUGGAGUCU